rnacentral:rRNA from 1 species
GACGAACCGUACGAACGUUAUUCGGAAUUACUGGGCUUAAAGGGUGCGUGGGCGGCGCGGAAAGUAGGGUGUGAAAUCCCUCGGCUCAACCGAGGAACUGCGCUCUAAACUACCGUGCUCGAGGGAGAUAGAGGUGAGCGGAACUGAGGGUGGAGCGGUGAAAUGCGUUGAUAUCCUCAGGAACACCGGUGGCGAAAGCGGCUCACUGGAUCUCUUCUGACGCUGAGGCACGAAAGCUAGGGUAGCGAACGGG